rnacentral:rRNA from 1 species
AAAUUUAUUUCGCAAGUACAGUGGCGAACGGGUGAGUAACGCGUGGGAAACCUACCCUGGAGUGGGGGAUAACAUUCCUAACGGAAUGCUAAUACCGCAUAAUAUUUUCCAUCGCAUGGUGGAAAAUCAAAGGUGGCCUCUACUUGUAAGCUGACGCUUUAGGAUGGUCCCGCGUCCAAUUAGCUAGUUGGUAGGGUAAUGGCCUACCAAGGCGACGAUUGGUAGCCGGCCUGAGAGGGUGACCGGCCACACUGGGACUGAGACACGGCCCAGACUCCUACGGGAGGCAGCAGUCGAGAGGCUUCGGCAAUGGGGGAAACCCUGACCGAGCGACGCCGCGUGGACGAUGAAGUUCUUCGGAACGUAAAGUCCUGUCAUAUGGGAUGAAAAAUCGAUUGACGAAUAAUCUUUCGAUCUGACAGUACCAUAAGAGGAAGCUCCGGCUAACUCCGUGCCAGCAGCCGCGGUAAUACGGGGGGAGCAAGCGUUAUUCGGAUUCAUUGGGCGUAAAGGGUUCGUAGGCGGCCUGACAAGUCAGGGGUGAAAUCCAACGGCUCAACCGUUGACCUGCCUUUGAAACUGUCUGGCUUGAGUAUAGGAGAGGAAAGCGGAAUUCUUGGUGUAGCGGUGAAAUGCGUGGAUAUCAAGAGGAACACCCGUGGCGAAAGCGGCUUUCUGGCCUGAUACUGACGCUGAUGAACGAAAGCUAGGGGAGCAAACGGGAUUAGAUACCCCGGUAGUCCUAGCCGUAAACGAUGGGCACUAGGUG